UACGAAGGGGGCUAGCGUUGUUCGGAAUUACUGGGCGUAAAGGGCGCGCAGGCGGUCGUUCAAGUCGAGUGUGAAAGCCCCCGGCUCAACUGGGGAGGGUCAUUCGAUACUGAUCGACUCGAAGGCAGGAGAGGGUAGUGGAAUUCCCGGUGUAGUGGUGAAAUGCGUAGAUAUCGGGAGGAACACCAGUGGCGAAGGCGACUACCUGGCCUGUUCUUGACGCUGAGGCGCGAAAGCUAGGGGAGCAAACGGG
rnacentral:rRNA from 1 species